CAGUAGCCACGGUAAUACGUAGGGUGCGAGCGUUAAUCGGAAUUACUGGGCGUAAAGCGUGCGCAGGCGGUUGUGUAAGACAGGUGUGAAAUCCCCGGGCUUAACCUGGGAACUGCGCUUGUGACUGCACAGCUAGAGUAUGGCAGAGGGGGGUGGAAUUCCACGUGUAGCAGUGAAAUGCGUAGAGAUGUGGAGGAACACCGAUGGCGAAGGCAGCCCCCUGGGCCAAUACUGACGCUCAUGCACGAAAGCGUGGGGAGCAAACAGGAUUAGAUACCACAGUAGUCCCUGUCUCUUAUAC
rnacentral:rRNA from 1 species